AGCCAGUUCUCGUUCGAUCACCUAAGUUAAGCAUCGAUGGGAGGGGUCAGUACCAGGGAGAGUGACCACCUGGAAGUAAAGUGUCG